AUUGAACGCUGGCGGCAGGCUUAACACAUGCAAGUCGAGCGGGGGAAGGUAGCUUGCUACUGGACCUAGCGGCGGACGGGUGAGUAAUGCUUAGGAAUCUGCCUAUUAGUGGGGGACAACAUCUCGAAAGGGAUGCUAAUACCGCAUACGUCCUACGGGAGAAAGCAGGGGAUCUUCGGACCUUGCGCUAAUAGAUGAGCCUAAGUCGGAUUAGCUAGUUGGUGGGGUAAAGGCCUACCAAGGCGACGAUCUGUAGCGGGUCUGAGAAGAUGAUCCGCCACACUGGGACUGAGACACGGCCCAGACUCCUACGGGAGGCAGCAGUGGGGAAUAUUGGACAAUGGGGGGAACCCUGAUCCAGCCAUGCCGCGUGUGUGAAGAAGGCCUUAUGGUUGUAAAGCACUUUAAGCGAGGAGGAGGCUACUCUAGUUAAUACCUAGGGAUAGUGGACGUUACUCGCAGAGUAAGCACCGGCUAACUCUGUGCCAGCCGCCGCGGUAA
rnacentral:rRNA from 1 species